rnacentral:tRNA from 1 species
GUGGGCGAUUAGCUCAGUUGGUUAGAGCGCCACGUUGACAUCGUGGAGGUCGUAGGUUCGAGUCCUAUCCUGCCCACA